rnacentral:lncRNA from 1 species
CGGCAUAUGCAUGGAGUUGUGCAUAAUGUGAAUAAGGGCAUAAUAGGAAGAAAAAAUGCAUUCAUAAUUCCCUCACCCUCCUGGAAUUCAAGUACCUCAUCUAUCCAGGGAAUCUUACUCCUCCAAUUUCAGGAAUUGAAUUCCUUGUUUCGGGUGGGGUCCACCACACUAUUGAUUCCCCAGUAUUUAGUAAACACCAGAGUAACCAGUAAUCAGAAUUCAAUUCUGUUUUUUUAUUCCCAUUACCCUUACAUAAACGCGCUCUUACAACCUUUUGUAUGUAAGCUAGUAUUCCAGCUUUGAGACUACUUUUAGACAAGUGGUACAUUUCCAUUUGUAGUACUCCCACUAGGCCCAACACAAAACCUUAGCUUGUGAAGAAACCUAAGUGCGUAACAUCAUUAUUUUACUCCACUAAACUUCCAAUCUUUUAGAGACAUUUAAUGAGGAUGUCACAAGAAAUUAGUCAACCUGUAAGUCUAUAUCCUAGACAAUUGUCUCUCUAUAUGUUAGAAGUGGCGUAAGCUAAUUGAAAAUGCAAAGUCUAUCUCCGCUCGUUUAAUUUAUUUAGGGUUUUAUGGACUAAUUGUAGGCAGCAAACUUUCAAGAAACGUCUCCCACUAGGUUGGAAGAGUUAAAUUGCGCAUACACCACCUUAUGAUGUUGUGUGACAUUACCCAAAAAAAAUUAAAAAUCCUUUCCAAGUGAUUGGAAUCCUACUCGCAAUUUCUUGGUUUUCCAAGAAGAGUGAUCGACUAUAUUCUUUGAUGUAAAUAUAAAGUUGUUAAACCAAGGUCGACAAUGUACAAUAAAGAAUACCUGCCCUUGAGUAGUACGAAAAAUAAUAAGAUUUUCGGAAUAUUAUAGGGAGCAUUUACUAGUGCUCUCAUCUAAAAUAAAAUUGCAAUUGUAGUAAAUUAGUUCAUUAAUUCGAGCUGGAUUUGAACAUCAAAGUAUGGCUUAUCACUUAGUGAGUGAGUCAAAUAAUAACCCAUCUGUACCAUACUUUGACUGUAUUUUUCUUUAAAAACACUUGUCUUAAAAUUACAAAGCAUUUUAACAUUUCAAAUGUUGGUACAUCGAAGGGGACAAAUAUUCCGAAAAAUAUUGCUCAAUCAUGAAAUGUUGAAGAAAUAUUCUAAGUCCAAAGUUAAGGAGUGAGAAGUCAUUCGCAAUCUCCUUAAAUUUCCCAUGUUGAUAAAUCGCUUAGUACUUCACGAAAUAGAUAUAGAUAACUUGAUUAUGUAAUCUUCAUUUGAGUUCUCACCAUAUAUGCUUCAAAUACAACUACAAAAGAAGUAUGAGCCAAAUUUGCAUGUAUAUACUUCAUUAAGCAUAGAGUUAUAAUAGUACUCACUCAACGAAUGCAAGUGAGAUGUCUCUUUCUCCAACAUUAAUAGCAUUAACAAUGUUUGAGCAUUUUAUCAUUCUCUCCCUCAUCUUCUUGAAUUGGACUAUUUUGAUCAUGCCUCAUAGCGUCAAAGUGAUACCAUAGAGGCUAAACUAAAAGAGAAAAAAGUAUUACUCUCUCUUAGAGCUAAGAGAAUUGUUUCUCUUAUUGUGUCUUCUCCUUUCCCCAAAGCCCUCUUUAUAUAUUGGCUAGGAGGGGAGGAUAAAUGAAACGGUCAAUGUGGGACAAAUAACACAUAUCAAUAACACACCAUAUAUUGAGUGGAUUAAUAUUGUGUUUUAUAUAAUACAAUUAUCAUA